GUGAUGAAAACAAGGACAGAGUUCUAGUUACGUAGCGAUGGGUAUGAAUAAUACAAAUGGCAUUUAUACAAAUCUGCAGCUGGCGUUAGUCAUUUCCAUCAUACGCCUGGAUUGGUUGAACAGAAUUAUUAUUAUAUAUAUUUUAAAACAGUGUUCCGGAGUGGGAAUUGUCUUCUUCACACACAAUAUACUUGGAAAGGAGCACACACCAUGUCCCAGACAGGUCAAUCAUCUGGCACACCAUGUCCCAGACAGGUCAAUCGUCCGGCUGGCGUGCCAUGUCCCAGACAGGUCAAUCGUCCGGCUGGCGUGCCAUGUCCCAGACAGGUCAAUCGUCCGGCUGGCGUGCCAUGUCCCAGACAGGUCAAUCGUCCGGCUGGCGUGCCAUGUCCCAGACAGGUCAAUCGUCCGGCUGGCGUGCCAUGUCCCAGACAGGUCAAUCGUCCGGCUGGCGUGCCAUGUCCCAGACAGGUCAAUCGUCCGGCUGGCGUGCCAUGUCCCAGACAGGUCAAUCGUCCGGCUGGCGUGCCAUGUCCCAGACAGGUCAAUCGUCCGGCUGGCGUGCCAUGUCCCAGACAGGUCAAUCGUCCGGCUGGCGUGCCAUGUCCCAGACAGGUCAAUCGUCCGGCUGGCGUGCCAUGUCCCAGACAGGUCAAUCGUCCGGCUGGCGUGCCAUGUCCCAGACAGGUCAAUCGUCCGGCUGGCGUGCCAUGUCCCAGACAGGUCAAUCGUCCGGCUGGCGUGCCAUGUCCCAGACAGGUCAAUCGUCCGGCUGGCGUGCCAUGUCCCAGACAGGUCAAUCGUCCGGCAUGCCAUGUCCCAGACAGGUCAAUAGCCUGGCACGCCAUGUCCCAGACAGGUCAAUCGUCUGGCACGCCAUGUCCCAGACAGGUCAAUAGCCUGGCAGGUGUGCCAUGUCCCAGACAGGUCAAUAGCCUGGCAGGUGUGCCAUGUCCCAGACAGGUCAAUAGCCUGGCAGGUGUGCCAUGUCCCAGACAGGUCAAUAGCCUGGCACGCCAUGUCCCAGACAGGUCAAUAGCCUGGCACGCCAUGUCCCAGACAGGUCAAUCGUCUGGCAUUGUGGAAUUAGAACAGAGACGUAAC